GGCUCCAUAGUGUAGUGGUUAGCAUAUCUGCUUUACAAGGUCCUGGGUUCAAACCCCAGGUGGAGCCA
rnacentral:tRNA from 1 species